AGUGAACGCUGGCGGUAGGCCUAACACAUGCAAGUCGAACGGCAGCACAGUAAGAGCUUGCUCUUACGGGUGGCGAGUGGCGGACGGGUGAGGAAUACAUCGGAAUCUACUUUUUCGUGGGGGAUAACGUAGGGAAACUUACGCUAAUACCGCAUACGACCUACGGGUGAAAGCAGGGAUCUUCGGACCUUGCGCGAUUGAAUGAGCCGAUGCCGGAUUAGCUAGUUGGCGGGGUAAAGGCCCACCAAGGCGACGAUCCGUAGCUGGUCUGAGAGGAUGAUCAGCCACACUGGAACUGAGACACGGUCCAGACUCCUACGGGAGGCAGCAGUGGGGAAUAUUGGACAAUGGGCGCAAGCCUGAUCCAGCCAUACCGCGUGGGUGAAGAAGGCCUUCGGGUUGUAAAGCCCUUUUGUUGGGAAAGAAAAGCAGCAGGUUAAUACCCCGCUGUUCUGACGGUACCCAAAGAAUAAGCACCGGCUAACUUCGUG
rnacentral:rRNA from 1 species